AGUGAUGGUCAGAUCAAUGUCUAUUUUUAUAAGGAUCAUUUAAAUGCAUUUGUUUGCCCGGUGUCAUGGAAACAAGCCAGACUUCAAACUCAAAGGCAGACUCGUGAAUGGUCAGCCCAAGAAUGUCCUCCAUCUCGGAAGAAGAAUAUUUUGUAGGUGCCUCUUCCUUUGCCCAGCAGAGAGAAAAAGUCGGUUAGUAGGGCUGACAACUGGAACGACGCUCCCUGCGUGCACAAAAGCCUCCGGGAGCAUCUGCUAGCCAGCACCCAGAUGGAGAAGGAAGAAAGCAAAAAGUUUGAGGACCAGCUGUGCCGCUGGCUGAGCAAAGAGCACCAUCGUCUGGCUAUUUCCCUUCCCCCCCGCUCAGUCCGGCAUCUCAGUCGAUCGUGUCAGUGAUGCGGUUCCCUGCGCUGGCCAGGAUGCAGGCGACAAGAAUGGAAGACGUGCCCCCUGAGGAGAAGGCUGAGCCCUCUCUGCUGAAAAGAUUGAAACAUUUAGAAAAGCUAAUCAAAGCC